UACGGAGGGUGCGAGCGUUAAUCGGAAUUACUGGGCGUAAAGCGUGCGCAGGCGGCGCGUUAAGACAGGUGUGAAAGCCCCGAGCUUAACUUGGGAAUUGCGCUUGUGACUGGCGUGCUGGAGUGUGGCAGAGGGAGGUGGAAUUCCACGUGUAGCAGUGAAAUGCAUAGAGAUGUGGAGGAACACCGAUGGCGAAGGCAGCCUCCUGGGCCAGCACUGACGCUCAUGCACGAAAGCGUGGGGAGCAAACAGG
rnacentral:rRNA from 1 species